GGUCCUAUAGUUUAAUAAUUGGAAUAUUAGGGUAUUAUUCUUAGCUAUCUGCCUACUAUCUUUUAAGUAUAUUUAAAAGUAUAGUUAGCGGAUUACUUCUAGAUAAUAUACCCGAAGGUCGUAGGUUCGAAUCCUAUUAGGACCA
rnacentral:tRNA from 1 species